UACGUAGGGACCAAGCGUUGUUCGGAUUUACUGGGCGUAAAGGGCGCGUAGGCGGCGUGACAAGUCACUUGUGAAAUCUCUGAGCUUAACUCAGAACGGCCAAGUGAAACUGCAGUGCUAGAGUGUGGAAGGGGCAAUCGGAAUUCUUGGUGUAGCGGUGAAAUGCGUAGAUAUCAAGAGGAACACCUGAGGUGAAGACGGGUUGCUGGGCCAACACUGACGCUGAGGUGCGAAAGCGUGGGGAGCAAACAGG
rnacentral:rRNA from 1 species